CCAAUAGCGUAUAUUAAAGUUGUUGCAGUUAAAAAGCUCGUAGUUGAAUUUCGGGGUUUAUCCGUUGGUCGGGCUUUCGGGUCUGUACUGGCGUGAUGGAUUCCUACCUUCUGAAUGACCAGCAUGUCAUUAAUUUGGUGCGUUGGGGAAGCAGGACUGUUACCUUGAAAAAAUUAGAGUGCUUAAAGCAGGCUAUAGCCUGAAUACAUUAGCAUGGAAUAAUGAAAUAGGACGCAUGGUUCUAUUUUGUUGGUUUCUAGGAUCACCGUAAUGAUUAAUAGGGAUAGUUGGGGGCAUUAGUAUUCAAUUGUCAGAGGUGAAAUUCUUGGAUUUAUUGAAGACUAACUUCUGCGAAAGCAUUUGCCAAGGAUGUUUUCAUUAAUCAAGAACGAAAGUUAGGGGAUCGAAGACGAUCAGAUACCGUCGUAGCCUUAACCAUAAACUAUGCCGACUAGGGAUCGGACGAUGUUAAUUUUUUAAUGACUCGUUCGGCGCCUUACG
rnacentral:rRNA from 1 species